rnacentral:rRNA from 1 species
GAGUUUGAUCAUGGCUCAGAUUGAACGCUGGCGGCAUGCCUAACACAUGCAAGUCGAGCGGCAGCAGGCCCUUCGGGGCGCUGGCGAGCGGCGGACGGGUGAGUAACGCGUGGGAAUCUACCCUUCGGUGGGGGAUAGCCCGGGGAAACCCGGAUUAAUACCGCAUACGCCCUACGGGGGAAAGCGGCCCUCUGAUGCAAGGUCGCGCCGAUGGAUGAGCCCGCGUCUGAUUAGCUUGUUGGUGGGGUAACGGCCUACCAAGGCGACGAUCAGUAGCUGGUCUGAGAGGACGGUCAGCCACACUGGGACUGAGACACGGCCCAGACUCCUACGGGAGGCAGCAGUGGGGAAUAUUGGACAAUGGGGGAAACCCUGAUCCAGCAAUGCCGCGUGGGUGAAGAAGGCCUGCGGGUUGUAAAGCCCUUUCAGCUGGGAGGAAAAGCGUUCGGUUAAUACCCGGACGUAUUGACGUUACCAGCAGAAGAAGCACCGGCUAACUCCGUGCCAGCAGCCGCGGUAAUACGGAGGGUGCAAGUGUUAAUCGGAAUCACUGGGCGUAAAGGGCACGCAGGCGGUUGGAUAAGUCGGGUGUGAAAGCCCCGGGCUCAACCUGGGAAUGGCAUUCGAUACUGUCCAGCUAGAGUCUGGUAGAGGGAAGUGGAAUUUCCGGUGUAGCGGUGAAAUGCGUAGAUAUCGGAAGGAACACCAGUGGCGAAGGCGACUUCCUGGACCAAGACUGACGCUGAGGUGCGAAAGCGUGGGUAGCAAACAGGAUUAGAUACCCUGGUAGUCCACGCCGUAAACGAUGAGAACUAGCCGUUGGACCCAUUUAUGGGUUUAGUGGCGCAACUAACGCAAUAAGUUCUC